CACACCGCCCGUCACACCAUGGGAGUGGGUUCCACCAGAAGCAGGUAGUCUAACCGCAAGGGGGGCGCCUGCCACGGUGAGAUUCAUGACUGGGGUG
rnacentral:rRNA from 1 species